rnacentral:rRNA from 1 species
UGGAUCCAGACUUUGAUUCUGGCUCAGGAUGAACGCUAGCUACAGGCUUAACACAUGCAAGUCGAGGGGAAACGACAUCGAAAGCUUGCUUUUGAUGGGCGUCGACCGGCGCACGGGUGAGUAACGCGUAUCCAACCUGCCCACCACUUGGGGAUAACCUUGCGAAAGUAAGACUAAUACCCAAUGACGUCUCUAGAAGACAUCUGAAAGAGAUUAAAGAUUUAUCGGUGAUGGAUGGGGAUGCGUCUGAUUAGCUUGUUGGCGGGGUAACGGCCCACCAAGGCGACGAUCAGUAGGGGUUCUGAGAGGAAGGUCCCCCACAUUGGAACUGAGACACGGUCCAAACUCCUACGGGAGGCAGCAGUGAGGAAUAUUGGUCAAUGGACGAGAGUCUGAACCAGCCAAGUAGCGUGCAGGAAGACGGCCCUAUGGGUUGUAAACUGCUUUUAUAAGGGGAUAAAGUGAGUCUCGUGAGACUUUUUGCAUGUACCUUAUGAAUAAGGACCGGCUAAUUCCGUGCCAGCAGCCGCGGUAAUACGGAAGGUCCGGGCGUUAUCCGGAUUUAUUGGGUUUAAAGGGAGCGUAGGCCGGAGAUUAAGCGUGUUGUGAAAUGUAGACGCUCAACGUCUGCACUGCAGCGCGAACUGGUUUCCUUGAGUACGCACAAAGUGGGCGGAAUUCGUGGUGUAGCGGUGAAAUGCUUAGAUAUCACGAAGAACUCCGAUUGCGAAGGCAGCUCACUGGAGCGCAACUGACGCUGAAGCUCGAAAGUGCGGGUAUCGAACAGGAUUAGAUACCCUGGUAGUCCGCACGGUAGACGAUGGAUGCCCGCUGUUGGUCUGAAUAGGUCAGCGGCCAAGCGAAAGCAUUAAGCAUCCCACCUGGGGAGUACGCCGGCAACGGUGCAACUCAAAUGAAUUGACGGA